rnacentral:rRNA from 1 species
AUGGCAAAAUAUUGGUGGAGCAGCUCUAUUGACAGGCGGUCCUUGCACUAGUUGUCAUGGGAGAAUUUGUCAACACCAAAGAUUCAAGGGGGCAUGGGGUUCAGAGAGCUCGAAAAGUUCAAUCUGGCGCUCCUGGGGAAGCACGGCUGGCGACUCAUAACCCAUCCCAACUCCCUCUGCUCCCGAGUUCUCAAAGGGAAAUACUUCCCGGACUGCGAUUUUCUGCAAGCCAAUGCUCCAACCACUUCAUCAGCAACCUGGAAAGCAAUCAUUGCGGGGAGAAAGGCUUUGCAAACUGGUUUGAUCAAACGAGUUGGUAAUGGAGAUUCUAUCUCCAUAUGGAACGAUUCAUGGAUCCCCACCACUUCCACCCUCAAACCCAUGGGGAAGAUAGGGAAUGACCCGCUUCAGUGGGUCUCUAAACUCAUCGACGAGAGUAGGGGAACCUGGGAUAUCGAAAUAGUACGUCGGAAUUUUCUUGCACCUGAUGCGGAGGCCGUACUUAACAUUCCUAUCCGACACAAUGGUGGAGAAGAUUUCCUGGCUUGGGCCUUUGAAAGAUCCGGUGAGUACACUGUAAAAUCAGCUUAUCGUGCUCUUGUGACUCGGAACGAGCGUCGAGCUCUAGAGGAAGGGACGAUAGUGGGAACAUCAGCUUCGCACAAAUAG